GCCUUAAUCUGGUACUAGUUCUAGUGCAUACAAUCCAAUUCAAUCAUGCUUGUCUUAAUCUCAUAUUCAUCCAAGCACACAUUAUUGUUUGUCUUAAUCUGGUACUAGUACCAGCGAAUUAGAUCCAAUUCAACCAUGCUUGUCUUAAUCUCAUAUUCAUCCAAGCACACAUGCACAUAUGGAAAGAACUAACAGUAAUCUAUAUUUUGUACAUGGCUUAUUAGGCUCUAUAUGAAAACAUUAUAAAACUACAGCUGUUUAUUUUGUCUCUUCUUUAAUAUGGCAAUCCAGUGAUGCAGCUGCUCUGCUGGGCAUGAGAACUACCUGAUGCACAUCAGUUUCAGCCUUAAAAUUAGUCAUCCAAAUGGCCCUUAAGUUAUUUUGGUGUUCAGGUAAUAACAUAAUUUAUGUUGCUCUUCAUUAUUGUUUCAAUCUGGGAUUGUAGUACUGAAAUUCUUUACACUACUUUACACGUCCUUGAGUAUUGUACUAUUGUUAACCAGAAAUGAAAGGGAGUUAGUUAUAUAACAACUUAAACUUUGGGUUAUACACCGGAAAAGUACUGAAAGAAUAAUAAGUGGCUGAGUUAUACAACAUUCAAUAAUAGUUCUAAACUACAACCAUUCAUGCAACUGAAUGGUCGUUAAUAUGAGAAAUGAGAAUAUGUGGUGAGUGAUAAGUAGAUAUGUUAUUUCAACGAUGAUGAGCACUGAAAGCUCACUUGUGGUGAUUAAUUUCGACAAAUGAGCGCCAAGAUGAGGUCAAGGCUUCCCUAGCCUCGGACAUGCCCACCACUGGUCUCCCGCGCCAAAGAUGCGGAUGUAUACCAGAGGUUCUCUCGCUUGCUGUCGCGCAAACACGGUGUGCUGAGAUUGGCUGUAGUCAGUCUCAGGUGAGCACUUUAAUAUGCUCUCAACUAUGGCCAUGUCAUUCUAAUUAAAAACUGCAUUUGGUCCUGAUCAUGCCUGUGUGUGUGGCUGCUUUGAUUGCAAACUGGGUUAGGGCCUGAUUUCUAGCAAGGUCCUGUUAGUGGUUACUUGAGUUUCUAUGGGAGCUAAUGCCUUUAUUAGUGAAAAUUAUGGAUAUGAUUGCUACCUUUUGUUACCUAUUGAUGAUUGUCUGAUCCUAUUUCUCUUACUCAUGGAUAUAUAUUAUAUAUAUUAGCUUAUCAUGUCUCCAUUAUUUAUUUUCUAUGUUCAUUUGAUGCUAGGGUUUGGCUCAGUAAUUUUCUAAUUAGUGGGCGGGACAUGCUCCAUCUGUUUUUGAAACCCUUGUGCUCUGCUGCACUACAAUUUGGGACAUGCUCCAUCUGUUUGCUAGAGGUUCUCAAAAUGUUUUCUCUUACUACCAAAGCAGCAUGUUAUACUACAUUGUUUAUGCUUAAGAAUUCCUAUUCAUUUUCAGUUCCUGUCCCUGAAUGCCUCAACCUCAACUCUGCAUUUUUGUUUCAGGAUAGGGCAUCGUUCAUUACGAAGGUUCUUUUUUCUUGUAUUUAGUUGGUUGAGUGCGAUCUGGAGAAGUAGGGAGAGUUAGGCGUCGAGGCGGCUGGAGAUGCUUGACUGUUGGUUUGUCAGUUGUGUCGACAACGACGUCAAAGUGGGGCGGCGGUCCCGCAACACCUAGCGUCCAGUUGUACAUGUGAGGUUAGAGUUUUAGUGGUUAUCUUAUCUAUGAAAUGUUAUUGGCUGCAGUACUUGCAAAUUUCUGUUUAAACAGUCCGUACCAAGUUUAUUAAAUAGAUGUCAUGCUAGAAAUGAAGUAAGAUCUCUAAUAACCAUGAUACCUAAUAAUUCGUUGUUCUCUUUAUUUGUCACAACCGACUCUCAAAUAACAAGGCAUCGGCCACGUUUCCGCAACUAUGCGCUGUUAAGAUGAAGCACUGAUGACGUGUUACACCAAGAAGCCGUAAAUUUGCAUCGUGCUAUGUAGGCGGCGCGGCGAAGCGCGUAUUUCUGUCUAGUACAAAUUACAACCUGGUAACAUCCUUGUCGUGAAUACCGCCACGUAUAACAAAACCAAGACCAUGCGACUCGAGGUCGAGAAUCCGAUCGAGAUAUUGUGCAGACUAGUGUAAUGUACGGCUGCUGCAUAUACAUAGUAUGUACAAGAGUAUUUAAUUUAGCCCUGCACGAUGGACACACUUGCAAGGGAUGCCCUUGCAUGCAUUGAAAUAUCUAACUGAAAAAUGAUCUUGGUUCAUUAAGCUAACACGGUUUCAGUCCUUGGUUGCUACUUGAUGGUUUAUUUUCGUAAACAGACAAAUAUCUACCUUUCUUGGGAAUUAGUGGGAGAAGGUUGUAUGCAUUGUUUGCUCAGUUUGUGCACUUAUCUAUAUUUUUUAAAACCAUGGUCUACAUGAUUAGUUUACUUUGCUAAAGAGAGUAGUUCCCUUUUCGUAAUAAUUUGAUAUUUACUUAUUACUAGAACAUUAUCUGAGAUUAUAAUUAUACAAACCUUUUUAAUCAUAUUGUGCAUUUUUAUAUCCCCAUAUCUGUAUGAAAUAGAUCUUCUGUUAUUUAGGCAUGAUUACAUCCGUGAGGGUCAAAUGAUGAGGAAUGAGCUGCAACAAUACGAUGGAGUUAUGCUCCUGAUUCUUAUUUCUUAGUACUUGAGCCUAUGAUGAUACCUCAAAUGAUUUUUUCAUCUUUUAUUAUGUGGUUAUAACUUCACAUGAUCUUGACUAUUCUAUCUUGCCAUUAAUUAAUGGUGUUCAUGCACUCCUAGAAUGAAAAAUUGUCGAUUUCAUAGUUGUUUUUUUUGUUCAAUUACAUACAGUGCUUGUUAUGCUUUUUGAAUAGCACCUUGCUCUGCUUUUGUGGGAUUACUGGUCCAUGUUUCAACCUUGCUAGAUACACAUUUGAUUUGUGCUGUUUCAAUCUUUUAUGAUUUUGGAUAAGCUUAGUGUUAAAGAAGUGAUUAAUUAUUUCAGAAUACUAGAAUGUGAAGGUCAUCAGGUGCAAGACCACCAUAAUUGGUAGCAAAGUUCGAGUCAUGUUUUACAAAGGGAAAAUGAUAUCGGUAAUAGGAAGUCAACAAAUGGUAGUACUAUGUGACUAAUUUUGCGCUUUAUGAGUUGCAUUGCUGAAACUUGUUGCAUUAGAAAGCCAAUUAAUCCAUUGUUUACCAAAAUCAAUCCAUUAGAUUAAUUUUCUUAUUGCAUUACUGAAACUUAUGAUAUCCCUAAAUGAAUAUAUAUCGUCACUGUACCAGCUACUCUAUACUAACCUUCAGUGCUGCCAAUGGAUGUUGUGUUACACAGGGAGCAGCCUCGUACAUGGAUCAAUGCUAGACAUCGAGAUGUGAAGACCUCACAAGGAGCGGGGAGAAGGAGGUCAAGCUGCUCGCCCUCCAAGGACCACAGGGGUGACCUCGACGUUGACAUUACAUGGGCAUUCAAAGCCAGAGUAGUGGAUGGGUGCGGCAAAUUGGUGGAGGCCUGCGUUGCUUCUUGCACAGCCUUGGUGCCGCUAGGAGGUGGUCCAUCUCAUCGGCUCGAGAAGGAGCUUGCACCUGCCACCUAGGAAGUCCCAUGCGAGCUACAUUAACGUGCACGUGGGCAGCUUAGUGGUCGCCCUGGCUGAAGCGGCUGGUGAGGAGUCCAAGGAGCACCGCGACCAACCGAAGAUCGUCAAGGAGAAAUUAACUCUUCCUCUCCUGGGAUUGUGAAAUGUGAGCACAACAUUAUAUUGCUUCCCUUCUUCUGGCUUAAGUAUCUCUGAUAUCACCAUCUUGGGCAUUGUUUUUGUCCCAGUGAGAUAUGAGAAGCAAGUAUCAUACCAACUUAUUUAUUGGUAUUAUGCAGUUGACACCUAGAUGGCUAGGUGUGCCAUCUCAUUAGGCUUUUGUUGGGUAUUGAAUUAGUUUAUUGGGGUAUGCGUCCUUGGAUUGCUGUUGCAUACUCAUCUCCUGUUGCGGCUGCUACUGCUGUUUUCUUGAUUUACCCUAUUGGUCAAGGAAGCUUCUCUGAUGGUAUGCCUUUAGGAAUAUCUGGUACUUUCAACUUUAUGAUUGUAUUCCAGGCAGAGCACAACAUUCUUAUGCAUCCAUUCCACAUGUUAGGUGUAGUUGCUACUGCCACUGUGUGCUUUUGAAGGUGUCAGUAUCAGCUCUUUAUUGUUCAUAGUUUAGCUCUGCGAUUUCUGACUUAAUGUUUGUCAUAGUGUUUUAAUGUUGCCCCUUUUUGUACUGUUAUUUUCUAGUGUCUGAAAAUAAGGAUGGCCUUGGUGGCUUCAUUAGACAUAGUAUUCAAUCAAGGAUUUCUUAACUGUAAGUGACUAGAGGAUUCUCUUAAUCCAUCAAUCACUAUGUUGGCAGAGUUUUUUGUGAUGAAUUUGCUAUGGCGUAAACAACUGUUUCUUAGCUAUGCUAGAAACUGAAGUAGAGCAAGCAGUAGACUAUUAAACUGGCCUGACCUUUAGCUUGUCCUUUGUAGUUGUCCUGCCAAUCAGAAAUUUGGUGAAUAGGUUCAGUUAGACGACGUGCUCUCGUUGGUUCUUGUAUAUGAUCUUUGACUUGUAACCUGGACUGAUUGGUCCAUAAUUUCGAGGUGCUGUCCAAAGAUAAGUUGUAGAUUAUGUUUGAGCCUUUCCAUAGAGUACCUUUUUGCGCAUAUUGGUUCGAUAGAUUGCAGACAACGGAGUACCUUUCCAUAGAGUGAUAUGCAUUGAAUAUAGAGUUUUACAGCGGGAACUGUCGUAGUUAGUAUUGUUUAUAUGUGUGCACUCUUUUUAGCUUGCAGAAUUGUUGACUAUAUGCAAAACAUACUAUUACUAUAGUUUUUCGGUGGUAAAUUAACGAUGUUGUGUUGUGCCCCUACUAUAGCCUUGAGGCAAUAGCUGCUGUUUUUUGAGCUCUAAUAUUUCUUUGUGUUGACUGACUUUCACUGUGAAUUUAUGAUGUAAAAACUCACCACCAACUAGGUGAAGCUAGCACGACUGUGGUAAGCGGUCUGGACAUUGCUUCUCCUCCCAGCACACACCAAACUUUCAAAUCACGUUAGAUGAUUCGUCGUUCUUAUUUCUGGCUGGCAGGGGAAAGCAUGAAAGAACCAAGAACUGCAAGGUGGAGUCACUCAUCUGCUUGAUCUUGUUACACAUGUGCAGUUAUCAGUGUGGUUUUCCCUGCAUUUUGGGAUAUGGGAGGGGGCACCUUCAUUCUUUGUCCAUGAAAGCAUGAGGUAAGCUGCAGGCUGUUGCCACCAAUGCAUUGAAGAAGAGGUGAGAAGUGAAUGACAGAGCAGCCAUUUUCAGAGAUAGCUUCCUUCUUGUUCUGCUAACUAUCCCUUGAUUUCUAUUUCUAUUUUUGUUGAUAGCAGAGAUGGUUUCUCAUUUCUAUGCUUUUUGUUUGGAGGUUUAGAUACUUGAAUUGUGUUUUAGAUUACUUGACUAGUUUGUUACUGUUUAUUUCAGCCAAAAAAAUUAUCACUUUCUUGCUCAUUAAUUGUCUUGUAUUUUUUUCUUUGGACUAGAUCUUAUAGGUUCCAUUAACUAUGACUUAGGUUUGAUUUCAUCCGUUGUCUCUCUCUCUGGCAAUUGUUGAAACUCGUGAGGUCUUCAUUGCCAGUAACUUGGCUUAGGUUUGAUUCCACAUGGCUUUCUAGUUAUUGUUUGUGUUGAAUCAUGCCAUGAUGCGUUUUACACAACAAAUGAACCUCUUUGGAUGGCCCCUCUUUUUCUGCUAAUACAGUAGCAAUAUUGUGCACCAGAACUAUCCUUGAUAUAUGUUUAUAGGUACAAGUUUCAUUUAUUUCUUCUGACACGUUUUGCUGCAAGUUGCAAGAUCUUCAUUUCUUCCAGAUUGUGAUGUACCUGAAUCUAAACUUAUUAUGUGUAAGUUUUCUGCUACUUGUGAUUGUGGUUCUGACAGAAUUCUUCUUCUUUUAUUCUGUUUUGGCUGGAAUGUGCGCUUUGCCACC